GACGAACGCUGGCGGCGUGCUUAACACAUGCAAGUCGAACGGAAAGGCCCUGCUUUUGUGGGUUUCUCGAGUGGCGAACGCGUGAGUAACACGUGUGUAUCCUGCCCUUGACUUUGGGAUAACUUCAGGGAACUGGGGCUCAUACCGGAUAGGAUCUCCUGCUGCAUAGUGUGCGUUGGUAAGUUUCGGCGGUUGGGGAUGGACUAGCUGCUUAUCCGCUUGUUUGUGGGGUAGUGGAUGACCAGGGCUUUGACGGGUAGCCGGCAUGAGAGGGUUAACGGGCACAAGGGGACUGAGAGAGGGAGCAGACGCGUACGGGCGGCAGCAGGGGGGAGUAUGGCACAGUAGGGGGAAGUCUGAUGCAGCGACGCCGCGUGCGGGAUGACGGCCUUCGGGUUGUAAACAGCUUUCGCCUGUGACGAAGAGUGAGUGACGGUAAUGGGUAAAGAAGCAACGGCUAACUACGUG
rnacentral:rRNA from 1 species